UACAGAGGGUGCAAGCGUUGCUCGGAUUUACUGGGCGUAAAGCGUACGCAGACGGCUUGGUAGGUCGGAUGUGAAAGCCCGGCUCAACCGGGAAUUGCAUCCGAACCACCUCGCUCGAGUGUGGAGAGGGAAGCGGAAUUCCGUGGUGUAGAGGUGAAAUUCGUAGAUAUCAGGAGGAACACCGGCGGCGAAGGCGGCUUCCUGGCCCGAUUACUGACGUUCAGGUACGAAAGCGUGGGUAGCAAACAGG
rnacentral:rRNA from 1 species